UCUACGGGUGGCUGCAGUGAGGAAUAUUGGUCAAUGGGCGCGAGCCUGACCCAGCAACGCCGCGUGAAGGAAGAAGGCCCUCGGGUUGUAAACUUCUUUUGUCAGGGACGAAGAACGUGACGGUACCUGACCAAUAAGCUACGGCUACAUACGUGCCAGCAGCCGCGGGAAUACGUAGGUGGCAAGCGUUAUCCGCGUUUACUGGGUGUAAAGGCCGUGUAGGCGGGACUGAAAGUCAGAUGUGAAAUGCAAGGGCUCAACCCUGGAACUGCAUUUGAAACUGUAGUUUUUGAGUGAUGGAGAGGCAGGCGGAAUUCCAUGUGUAGCGGUGAAAUGCGUAGAUAUACGGAGGAACACCAGUGGCGAAGGCGGCCUGCUGGACAUUAACUGACGCUGAGGCGCGAAAGCGUGGGGAGCAAACAGGAUUAGAUACCCUGGUAGUC
rnacentral:rRNA from 1 species